AUAAGAACAAUGUUCAGGAUUUGGUUCUCCCCUUCCACCAUGUGGGUCCUGGGAACUGAACUCAGGUGGUCAGGCUUAGCAGCAGGUAGGUGUCUUUCCUCUCUUGGCCAUCUUGUUAGUCUCUGUGUCUAAUGUUUGUAUAUUUAUGUCUUGGUUAUGACUCUCUGCGGAGAAAAUGUCUUAUUGAGGAAUUAUGCCUAUCUCAUGAGACUGAAUGAGUCAAAGGCAGAACGUCUGCUUUCCAGCUUACAGACAUAAAGCCAGUGCAGUGUCACAGCUCUAUCCUUGACCAGACAGACACGGAAGUCUGAAUGAUCAGGCACCAUGUGCAUUCUCAUCCCCUCUGCUACAUGACUGGAAACAUUUGUAGCUACGUGGACUGCCCCAGCUUUGCUUGUUAUGGACAGGAAGAGUGGCUGCCAUCUUCAUUGUCCGUAGGCAAGAGGAAGGAUACAUUGACAAAGGGCAGCUUCAUGGAGAGUCAGUGUGAUUGUUUCAAGAAACAACAUAAGCUUCGCACCAUAGCUGCUCUCUAGAUAGUCCUCAUCUCAGAACUGUCUCUAAGACUACGCCUGCAUUCCCCUAUCCAACAUCACACCAACAUUGAAUGAAUUCAUUUCCAGGGAGACCUUAUUUAUCACAAUGGAAAACGGCUCAUCUACCCAAGGUCACCGCUCAAAUUGAAACCUGAAACACAUCUAUAAGUGAGUCGCUGUCUCAGAGCCAAGUCUUCUGACAAGGCCAGGGUGAGUCGUGUUCAUAGAAAGAGCUACUUAUACAGAAGAUACUGUUUUGAUCCGCACCCCUUGCUGGCAAGCUUAACAGGAAGAUUGUUGGAAAAAGCAUAGGGAAAGAAAGGUCUUACUGAAUGCUGGGGGGGAUUCUUUGCUUUUAAAACAGUGUAUGAGUUGCCGACGAGAGCCGCUGAAAGACUAUGGGGCUUUGGAGGAAAUAAAGAGUUAUUUUAGGAAGACAGAAACAAGGACCAAAUGUUGGACUGGGGAAAUUCAUUACAGACAUGUCAUUCAUUAUAAAUGAAGAGAAACACAGCAAUCUCCUAGCACCCAGACCCAACACAGCCAUGUCUGCAAACCCAGCCCACGGAUGCAGAAGGGAUGUGGUUUGAUUUGUUCUGUUUGGUUUUAAGGGGCAGGAUUUGCCCUCACUGUCUCCUAUCAUUCCACGAAGCGUUAGUUUCUGGACACUGAUUUGCUGGACUGUAUUUAAGGUAACAUCUCAGAGCACAAAUAGGGAAGCUAUCUUUCCGAAAGACUUUCUCCUCAGCUGUAAGGGGCCUCAGGAAACGGCACAGUCCUGGCAAGCCCUGCGUCCUUCCCAGAUCCUACUCAUCACCACCUCUGCAUCAUUACUGGGCUGGAGAAUAAGAGGAAUAUGCAAAUCUGCCUGUACAGCUUGCCUUUAGGCAGAAGCGAUCUCCAGAGCCCUCAAGCCAUCUGCCAUGGUCAAGAUUAAAUGAGAAGAAGCUCAGGGGCAGAGACCUUUCCAUUCCCAGAGCUUAGCAUUUGGCGUUAGUUCCCAGAUCUUGUUGAUUUCCAGAACACUCAGCACUAACUGUCCUUCAUAUCCACCACGUGGCGCACUCACAGCUUCUUCCUGCCCCUCCUAGGAAAGCUCAGUGAAGUUCGCAUUUCUCCUUUGGAAUUGUCUCCCUAGUGACCAGGAGAGCGGUAGCUCAGAACAGCCACUCAGUACUUCUUGACCUAAUCGUCAUCAGCAAGGCCUCAUACCCGUUUAAAGGUUGAAUGAAACAUAUCUACCAGACACACCAACAUAUUAACAUGAGUGCCUCUGACCUAUAAGAGGCGGUAGGGAGAGUUUGGCAAAGUGUGUUCAUGUAAACCAUGAAGGAAAAUGAUUUAUGACACUCCUCAGAUGCAUCAAACUAGAGGCAAUAGCUGAUAGUACUCAGCAGUCCAAAGGAUAAGUUUGCAAAGGGUAGGUCCUUGAAUGGCAACAGCAAGCAGGGAUGCCUACUAAUGUCACAGCAAACAUGUGACAACAGCAAGGACCAAACUCCUGCUCCCACUGAAAUGUGGGGCUUGUUUGUUAUGGAAGCAUGGUCUAGCCCACCCUUGCUGAUACAUACACCAUAAGACUUAGAAUGCUACCUUGAAGGGGACAAUACUAUACUAUUCUAUACUCCAUUUACUGACAUCCUAAAGUUACAAGACAAAGACAGCCCCGCUCCCCAAGCAAAGAAUACAUGCAAACUCUUCAAGACCCUUGAUCCAUAUCUGCCUUCAAUAAAGUAUAAAAUAAUUAAUGGCUAUUUGCAGCAGAUAUCAAAUUGUUUAUCAUCCAUCAUCAGGGUUUUCAAUCUUUAUUGUAAGGUGAAUCCUUCCUGCAGUGUCAUCCCCAGUAACCAUUCAUAGAAACAGGAAGGAACCUUGGAGGUCAACUGCAUUCUCCAGUUGAUACUUGUCACUCUGCCACUAAAAUUCUGAUUCUGCAUUUCCCUGGGUCGCCUCUGCUCAUCACUUGAACUCACUAAUCGUUCUGUCUCACCUGCACACAUCUUGCUCCCAAACAUAGACACUGUUUGGUUCCUCCAGUAGCCAAAUCUGCCCACACUCCUGCAGUGUGCAGUAAAAGACCCACUCCCGCCAGAGCUAAGAUACAUCUCAUGGGGAUUCUGGAGUUGCCUGUCUUCUUCCCCCUGUAAGUAGCAAACGUCUUUUUGCUUUGUGGCUCACAUGGUCCUCCUCAAGAUCAUUCGAUACCUGCUGCAGCGUAAGCAAUUUUAGACAUCACACGUCACAUGUACUCUGGUAAAAUAUGAUAUAUGGAAUACAGGGAGCCUCACUGGACAGCAUCCUGGUCUCUGGCUUGCUGAGCCUUGGAUUAUAGUAUUCUAGUCUGCUUAUUGUUGUUUUGAUAAAGACAAUGAGGGAAAGCAGCUUGGGUGUGGAAAGGGUUUAUUUCGUCUUACAACUCAUGGUCUAUCACAGGGAAAGUUAGGGCAGUAACUCAAGCAGGAACCUGGAGGCAGGAGGCAGCAUCCCUUCAUAGUCUUUGCAAGCUGAGCUUGCCUGCCAUAAUUGUUUAGCUUACUUUCUUAUACCAUCCAGGCGACCUGCCCAGAGGUGGAACUGCACAUGGAUCAAGUAAAUGUCUCACAGACUUGCCCAGAGCCCAGUCUGACAGGUAUACUUUCUCUGUUGAGAUCUCCUCUUCCCAGCUGACUUUGGCUUGUGUCAAGCUCUAUCUAACCAGCUUGGCUAGUAUGCACAGGGUCUGGAAUGUGAACCUGUCUAACAUUAAUUAUGACGGCGUAGACCUGUAAGGCUAGUGCUCAGGAGGUGGAAGCAGGGGGAUUCAAAACUCAAGGUCAUCCUCUGCACAUAACAAAUUUCACAAAAUUUUGUGAAAUGUUCUUUCACAAAAAGAACAUUUUUUUAAAAAAAAUCCCCUUUUUGUUUGUUUGUUUGUUUAUCUAACUACCUUCUCAACUUUCUCCUUUGUCCCGACUCUGCCUUUCCUAGGAGAAGGAGCCAUUUAUGUGCGUUUGAAGUCCAGGAGGAAAAGGGUCAGAAACACAGGCAAGCAUGCAAGCUGGUGUGCACCGCUCUCUGUGUCUGUUUAUUAUGGCCGUCAGGCCUCCCAGGGAAACCAACACACAGUUGGCUGGAGAAGCCACAGCUGAAUACACUCAGGCGAGGAUUCCUGGGAGCCAUCAUUUCCACUGUAGGUUGAAAGUCAGAUAUUUUGUGUGGCUCUCAGCUCCUAGUUGCUUCUUGCUUUUUGAAAAAGAGGAAGUCAACAAAAUGAGCAAGUUAUUUCCAAGUGGAGUGCCUUCCUCCAGCUCAGAGGUCUAUGGAAAUUACAAAGUCCAGGGAAAGGAGCCUUGUUCAGAAGUUCCAAAUGUUCUUGGAGUGGUUUUUACCAGUCCUGAAAGAGCCCCACGUGACUCACGGAGCAGGACUGGAAUAGCCCCACGUGACCCAUAGAGCUAUCACCAAGUUACCUUAUUUGAGACUUUUAAUCCAAGCAGUUUAUAAACACAGGAUGCUUUCCAAAAGUGUUCCUCCCUUUCUCUCCCAUUUAUGGAAACAAAAGCAAAUGUUUUACAAGGGCAGAGACACUGAACUCUUCUUCUUUUGCUGGAUGCCUGAGGAGCCCUGGGAAAGUAUGGAGUAGGUAGAGAGGGAGGAAGAAACUGGACCCUGGCCAAGCUGGCCCUGCUGCUUAAUGGUGCCCCAGAUGUCUGAAGCAGCCUCAACAGAUGGGCCAGCGCUCUUUGUUUGAAUUUGAAAUUAUAAGUAGAAACAUAAGGCAGAUGUUUGCCUCCCUCAAAGGGAAGAAUAUUAAGAAGGAAGGCAUUUAGAGAAUAAGGAAGCCAAAGCCAUUGUCCUAACUUGCAUUGAAGUUUCUCAUUCAAAUCCCCAUUAGGAAACUGCCCCUCUCUAGUCAGAAGUUAGGGCCAUCGCUACCUUCUUUUGAUGGUUAAUGUAAGCUACCAACGUGGUUCGAUUAGUCAUCUAAGAGGCAUUCCUCUGGGCAUGACUAUAAGAGCAUUACUAGAGAUUUUUAACUGAAUACAAACCUACCAUGAUUGGGGGGCUCGGGACUAUCCAGAGUCUGGGGCUCUAAAUGGAAGUAGGCAAGAAAAUGAGCUGAGUACGAGCAUUCAUUUCUUCCUGCUUCCUGACUGCGGAUGCGCUGUGACCAGCUGCUUCAAGUCAAUGACCACAGCGCUCUCUCUACCCCAGACAGCCUUCCAUGUCAAAAUAAACUCCUUUUCCUUAGGGUGUUUUCAUCAUAGUGAUGGGAAAAAGAAAGAUAACCAAUACAUUGACCUUGUUUGUGGGUGACAGAGGAGACCCUCUGCCAAUUCGAUCUUGGGUUGACACCCUGGAGAGAUUUUCUAAAAGGAUAGUGUGCCCUCCUUUGGCUAACAACACACUGUAGAAACAGUAGGAAUUGAACCUUGGUGGUCAGGCCUGGUGGAAAGGACCCUUUACCCACCGAGUCAUUUUGCUGGCCCAGGGUGUGGAUUUCAGAGGUUAAUAAAUAAGAUCAAGACAGAGUGGCAUCGUUGUGGGUUAGCAAUGAGGCCUCUCUUAAAAAGAACUCCUGGAGGUCUUGCAUGGGCCCCUCUCUUCCCAACAGGCAGACUACUCUGAUUGCUAAAUGAAUUCUUCAGGGUCUAACAUGACAAAAUCUUUAUUGUUUUAAUGAGCGAGUCUUGGGUCUUUUGAUUCCAAUAGCGUCUGCAGAUGUAGGCUGUGGGAGUUUAUGUACUGCCUCAGGAGUGGUACUGUACCAAGCUCUGGCCUGCAGCUUGAUUCUGCUUGAGGGUACAGAUUCCUGUGAUCUUCCUCCAUUCACUUCAGAGAAAAGGCGAGCUGUAAAGCUGUUUUCAGAAAGACUACAGGAUGCUGGGACCACAGACCUAGUACGGUAUCUCUCAAGAUGACAGGAUCCCUAAGAGGUGGGAAUGACUAUGUCAAAGUUGGCUGUGCUUUAUACCUGGUGCACAGGUUUGUUCUCCAACACCAUACACGAUACAUCCUUCCUCUUUAUGGUAGUGCUGCCUCUGGACCCCACUUGACACUUCUUGGUGGUCCACUGAGGUUGAACUUGCUUUGAGACACAUUCUUCUUCUCCCUCCUGAUGUUCAGACUUGACUGGACCAUCAAAAGGCAGUUGCUUUACCCGUUCAUCCUUUCUCCAGACCAUCUUAUGAGAUCUGGCACUUUUCCUCUUGCUUGGCUAAAUGAUGACUGGACAAGGACAUCACAUCCAGUUCAGCAGAGUACAGGACUUUCCACUUGUUCCAGAAAAGAGGUGGGGAAAUAAUCCUACUCUCUUUGUUCUAGGUAAUUUUUAUCUCAAAAAAUUGUGUGUGUGUGUGUGUGUGUGUGUGUGUGUGUGUGUGUGUGUGUGUGCAUGUGGUGUUGGGUAAGGAUCGAGCUGAGUGUGAUGUCUUUGGGACAAGGAGAAGUACAUGACUCCCAUCUAGAAGGUUCAAUAAAGGCAUAAUCUGAGAGGUUAUUUCAUGCCAGACUCUUGAGAAAGAUGACAGAGAGCCAAGCACGUAGCACACCACAGUAGCACACAGCAGGGAGCAUUCCCUGCCUUGACUAGCAGAAGAAAAAUGAGAUGUUGUUGCACAAGGUCCUUUUGGAGUGAGAGUUAGAACACUGGGGAGUACGGUUUGCACUCCCCAGGAAGCAGCCAGGAAAGACUCAGCCUUAGAAUUCGAGUGUGGUUCUCGGAGACAAUGUUAAGCACCGGGCCACUUACUUGCUUAUAUCCCAGCUGUGGGAUUGCCAGUGACCACCCAUUUUACAUGACUAGAUGGCGGUUGCCAUAAGAAGCUAACAAAUCCUGAUGCAAGGGGCAGCUAGCAUGCCACUCCAGUGUCUCCCUCCCUCCUUGUGGGUUAUCUUCCAUCCCAGAAUAAAUCCUGAAAAUUUCAGUCUCCCAAUCUCAGCUGAAGCAUCGCCGUGAUAUGCUUCUCUACAAUCAGCUAAGAUCUAAUAACAACGACUAUAAAAUAUCAAGUAUCCAUAAACUGCUUGCUACAAAAACCAUGAGGAACUUUGGAGAGAUGGCUUAGUGGUUAGGAGCCCUGGCUACUCUUGUUAGAGGACUGAGGUUCAAUUCUCAGCACCCACAUGAUGGCUCACACCAUCUGUAACUAGUUUCAGAGAAAUCGAAUGCCCUCUUCUGGAUGCUCUUGGUACCAGGUGUGUGAGUGGUACACAGGCAUACAGGUAGGCAAAAGACCCUACACAUAAACAAAAUAAAAUAAAAUAAUAAGAAACUAAGGAAUCAAGAAUGGGCAGGGUGAACGUGGGGAACAUGGGUAAUAAAAACAUUGAAUCUUGAUAGAAAUUCUGAAGUAACUUAAACAACAGAACCUGUGUUGAGCUGGAUUCUGAGUGAAGAUUGAUGGCUAGAGACAGGGGCAUUACUUGUGUCCCAGGUAGACAGAAAUUCAUGAAUCUGAAGCCUCCAGAUGUAAGAAGUAAACAGAGGGCUGGCUCUGGAAAGAGUCACGUUCUCCAUGACUUACUUGUGUGUGGGCCUUGGUGAUACAGGAUUGUUAGGAGAACAGCUCUUAGAAUGAUCGUAGAAUCAUUCACCUGAAGUUGACUACGCCAGUCCACUCACAGUGCGAGAAUGGCUGAUUGCAAGGCUGUGGGAAACUCUAAUUAUUAGGAGGCAAAUUGAUUUACUGUCCUCACAAAUGUGUCUCCUCCUUGUAACUUCUCAGGAUGAGAAAUGACUCUUUGAGAGGAAAAAAAAUAGAGCUUUCCUCAGCAUGCAAAGGGUGAACCAGGAGCGGAUUAGUGAAGGGCAACUACAUCAGAGAGAGCCCGGAGCCAAGGGCAGUCACGUUACCCAACACUGCCACCAGAGCGCUCGCUCUGGUUCUAAUGAUUUAUUCAGCAUUUGAAACAUCCAGCUCUCUUCAAAUAUUUAUAACACUUCCUGGUUGCUUUGAGGCUUUUAAUAGGGCAGAAUAAAUCUGUAAGUAUUGAAAAAUUGUCAGCAAAUGGGCCAUAGUGUGAAUAACCGAAACGCAAGCUGUAAGGCUGUAGCCAUUUGCUUUAUUUUGGCCAGAGAAAAAUGUUGCAAUAAUCUUUUCCCAGCAUCACUGCUUUGGAUGAGUUUGCCUCUGAGUUUCAUUAAUCAGGGGCUCUUUAAUUACGUGAUAAAACUCCAUUGACAGGAUGAUGCUCUGUCCACUCAGCAAAAUGUUAAGAGAGCUGAUAUUUGUCUUUCUCUGUGUGCUGUUCUCACUCAGCCCAAGGCCUUGAUGGUGCCCUAAAGUCAAGGAGGGUUUCCCCUCAUCAGUCCGACCUCUUUGGAAAGAUCCUUGCAGGUGUAUGUCUCCUAAGUCUACUUAAGUUGAUGAAGAUUGGAGAUUGUCCCUCCACUGUGUGUGCCCCUCUGUCUCUAAUUCAUGUGCUUCGCAGGAUGACUGACCAUGUGACCGUCUUCGGGUCAGUCGGAAUGCAGAAUGCCCAUAGUUACUGUUCUGUUUCUUCUAACAUUCACCUUUCUAUAACUUUCCCACAUGGCUAAGGCACUACUACUCAGCUUGGGGGAAAAUAUAAUCUCCUUCAAUCUUACCCCCAUCUUGUCUUUAAGUCAUUGACUUAGUUAUGUCUCUUUUCCCACCCCUACAGAACUUGAUGAAAGAGAUACCUUGUCUUAACUGUGGAUCUAUUUGCAUCCCUUUCUUUCUGUGUUUGUGGGUC
rnacentral:sRNA from 1 species